rnacentral:rRNA from 1 species
GAUGAAUGCUGGCGGCGUGCCUAAUACAUGCAAGUCGAGCGAACAGACGAGUAGCUUGCUCCUCUUACGUUAGCGGCGGACGGGUGGGUAACACGUGGAUAACCUAUCUAUAAGACUGGGAUAACUUCGGGAAACCGGAGCUAAUACCGGCUCAUAUAUCGAACCGCAUGGUUAAAUAGUGUAAGACGGUUUUGCGGGCACUUAUAGUUGGAUCCGCGCCGCAUUAGCUAGUUGGUAAGGUAACGGCUUACCAAGGCGACGAUGCGUAGCCGACCUGGGAGGGUGAUAGGCCGCCCUGGAGCUGGAACACCGACCCGACUCCUACGGCAGGCAGCAGUAGGGAAUCGUACGCAAUGGGGGAAAGCCUGACGGAGCAACGCCGCGUGAGUGAUGAAGGUCUUCGGAUCGUAAAACUCUGUUAUUAGGGAAGAACAAAUGUGUAAAUAGCUAUGCACGUCUUGACGGUACCUAAAGAGAAAGCCACGGCUAACUACGUG